CAUUUCGAAAAAGAAUGGCGUCCGUAUAGCUCGAUAGUUUGACAAAGCUCCAAAGUGGUUGGAACAGCCUUCGUCUAGUCGUUUAAGAAGAUUUUCCCCGUCCAAUUUGGACUUAUUCGCUCCCAGUUUAAAGGUUCCAUGGCAUCUUUCAGGCCAUCAUGUCGGUGCACUCGUUGGGGCCCGAUACUGAUCGCUUCAGCCGCAGUCACCUGGGUACUAGCUGGAGAGCAAGAAAGAUCCCCGAUCGCCACCACCUCGACAGGAUCCGGCACGGCGUCCAUUUUCAUUACGGCCAAGUGAGAGACUUCAGAGUUCCAGAACAGAAGAAAGUGCUAUUUUUUGUGUGGAAUCAAUGUGAAUAUGUGAAAUACUAUGUAAAGGGAUAAUAAGAAUUCAAUAAAAUAUUUGUAGAGAACAUAAAAUUUUAGCAUUUUUUUUCUAAGUGAAAACAUUUAUGCCAUAUCAAUUUAAAGCUCACAAAUACAUAUGCAUACACUUUCAAUGCACUCACACAUAAGCACAUGCCUUUCACCAAUACUACCAAACAAUGACAGACGUCAUCCAAGUGACAACUUUGAAACGGGAAAAUUCAUUUCUACUGUAUCGGUUGGGCCAUUUUCCACUAGAAUAGAGCAUUUCCUGAGACAGAUGGUGGUAGGGUAGCUUUUUGUUUUUGUUUUGAAAAAGGUAAACACCUACUGGUCGCCAUUUUGAACUUGGGAGAUUAGCACUGUUCAAUUAUUUCUUCAAAAGAAAUUAUUUUUUAAAAUUAACAUUACAUAACAUCAACAUUACCUUCAAAGUAUUUCAUGUCUACAAUUAUUUAGUUUAAGGUAGUUUAAAAAAUUAAGUAUUUUGCAUAACCAUUACUUUUGCAUCGCCAAUUUGGUUUCGUUACUAUCCGACCAUUGAACAUGCGUAGUGUUGUUGUUAUUUUUACCCUACCACCAGCUGCCGAAAAUUGUAAACAUGAGAAAUCAGCUGUUCUGUUGACAAGUCGGGAAAUACCUUAUACAAUGGAACGGCUAGUAGGCGGCUAGUAGGAUUCCUACUAAUCUUUCUAGUGGUCCUACUAAUCUUUUCCGUCAAAGGGCAGCCACUCAACAUCAUCGACAGCUCCGGCCGCAAUUUCUCACUGCACCUGCAGUGGUGUAAUCAACUGUGGCAUUUGGCCACUUACACGCUCAUUUUUUUAUAACCAUAUUUGGUUGAAAAAUAACCAUUUUUCGGGUUUUGCUGUAGAACUGUGAAUAUGAUUAUUUUUUAAGAAACGAUAUGGUUAAAAUUUAAACCAUAUUCGAAGUUUCGGAGCGUAAACCAAAAAAUGGUUGAAAGUUUAACCUCAAUUUGUUGGGCCUAUUUUGUAUUCGAUUAUUUGAAUAGUCGAAAUUUUGUUUUUUUGUGGUGUUUUCUGAAAAAGUAUAACAAGAUGACUUAUAAGUCAUGAACAAUCACGCGAAGAACAGAGCAGAAGAAAGAAGUUUGGAGUCGGAGGAAAUCAAUCAUCCGGCCAAGCCACCCAGCUAGCAAAUAGAGACUUGGCGAGCCGGUGCCGAGCAGCAUUUCCCGGAUCCGACCCGGCGAAUCAACCUUUGGAACUGUUCAGGAUGGAUGGAUGUAUACCAGCAGACAAGAGCAAACAGAAUUAUACCGUGUGAGUGCACAGCGAACACCGAAAUCCUAAUUCCCGCAUCCGGAGUUAUGUUUUCUCAAGAGGCUAGACCAACUCUUAAGGCAUCAUGAAGCAAUCUGCCAGUAAGUCUUUCUACUAUUUUUUAUCGACCGUAGAACCAUGACCAUUUGCUUCCUUUUCAGCUCCACUGAUUUGGCGGAUCCGAAACUACGUUCGUUGUAUGUUUCCGGAAACAUUAAAAUUCAGUUUAGGGAAUCAUUUUUUGCCCUGUCGUUUUCCAAUAUCAUCAAGUAAGUUAGAACAAAAAAGGAUUCUUAGUUUUAUUUAACACCUUAUUUUGCUUUUUAGUGCUCAGUUGGAUUGGAACAACAAGCACGCAAAGAUGUUCAAACAGAGUUCGGUUGCACCUCGAAGAAAAAUUUUCCCGCAAUCAAUCAAUCCCGGACAUGCAUCUGAUGAUGGCAGCAUCAAUUGAACUCGAACACAACCUCCCAACAAAUUGUACAUCACAAUAUACAAAAUAAACUAUUGCGAAUUACUGCGUUUUUCUUAAAUAUUGCAGAAUUUCCAUUAAAUUCGUUCAUCGAAACAAACGGCUCUUUCAAUUGAGGUUCAAUUUUAACCAUUUUUCAACAUCUCCAUAGAAAUUUUAUUCGGUUGAAAAAUAACCAUAUUCGAACUUCUCCCCUAGAAGUCAUUUUAUGACUGCUCAUAGAGAACUCAUAAAAUGGCAUUUCCCGGGAAAAGGUCAAAAAUGGUUAUUUUUGAUUCCUAAAUGGUUUAAUAAUUUCUAGCGUGUAUCAUCAUCGGCAAUUGCGACCGUACCCUGUCAGGAACGUUUGCUCAAUCGGGCCGAUUGCAAAACAGACAUGGCGGUACUCGAAUUCUAACGGUUAGAAUUCGGUCGGUUAUCGGCUCGAUUUCCAUCCGCCUGCUCGAUUGCUCGAAAACAGACGAUAUUUAUCGCAGUGCUGCAUGAACAAAACGAAACACAGGCAGUUUUCAAUCGCAGCAAUAUGGGUGCGUGUUUCGUUUUGGUGCGUGAUUGUUGUGAAUUGUGUUGUGUAAUCGAAAAAGUCUCAAAUUUCAAAUACCUUGGACUUUUGAUAGAUGAAACCUUAUCUUGGAAAAACCAUAUUACGUAUUUAGAAAGUAAGGUCUCAUCACUUUGCGGAAUCCUCUGGAGAAUCAAACAAUUUGUACCGAGUCAUAUUCUAUUAAGAUUUUACUACGCCUUCAUUCAUUCUAUAUUUAAUUAUCUUAUUUCUUUAUGGGGACGAGCAUCGAUUUCUCUACUUGCACGCCUUCAAACAUUGCAAAAUCGUUGCUUGAAAAUCAUGUUUGGUCUUCCUUUACUUUUUCCAACAAACCAGCUUUAUUCUAAUUUAUCGCAUAAUAUUCUACCACUAAAUAAAAUGUGUGAUCUGCAAACCCUAUUAUUUGUUUUUGAUUGUUUACAUUCAGAAACGAAUAGAAAUGUUAGCUUUACCAUCGGAGAACGAUUGCAUAACACUCGUCAAUCACGUCACCUUCAACGCAGUAUUUCAACAACAACUCUAGGUCAAUGUAGAAUAUCGUUUAUUGGACCUACUAAAUACAAUACAUUGCCAAACCAUAUAAAAAUUAUAAACAAUCGACUUGCCUUCAAAUCCAAAUUAAUACUCUAUCUCAAAGAAACUCAAGUUUGAUAACCAUCAUCCAUUAUAUUAGUUUUUGUUAUUUUUAAUUUUUUUUGUUUUUACCUUUAUCUAUUUUUAAGACAGCCUUAGUUUAAUUUAGUAUAACCUUUUUUUAACUUUUUUUAUCUAGUAAAUAUUUGUUUUGUAGUGAAUCUCUUAAAAGGAUAUUUCAUCCACUCAGAUUCACAUGUAACGUAAUUAUCGUAUUUAUUCUCGUCCAUUCUCUCGCAACUAGUUUUAAAAAAAUCAUUGGUUCCCAGCAUGAGUCGAGUUUUGUUCGCGUUUGUUAUUGUUUUUGUGCUGUCGACAUGCUGGGAACAGAAGCGUCCAUUUCCAGGGAACUCAAAUGAGUUUUUUGGUGUGGGGGAGUGUGGCGGGCAACUUAAAGGUAAAUAAAAAAAAAAAAAUUGGUCGCAGUUCUGUUUCUGCCGUUUCCGCUGUUUCUUUUCAGAAAUGCUUUUAGCGGUAUGUAGAAGAAGCCAUUGUCCGGCGAUAAUUUAAUAAAAAGCGAGGUAUGUUUGAUUGAUUGAAUUCUAAAUAAUCAAGUUUUAUUUAUAUCAUUUUCUAACCCUUAAUUGUCCCCAUAGAAAACAUCGAACCAUGCAAACAAAGCUUCCAAAGCAAUGUCCACACUGUACAGGCUCUGGUGGAAUGCUAUCCCGGACAUCGUAUCCGGAUCCGGAUCCCGUCACGCUCUAAGAAAACAUCGAUCCAUCGAAUUCCAAGGAAAUGUCCACACGGUACGGUAUCCAGAUCCGGAUUCCAGGCACGCUCAGAGGUGGUGGAUUACUCUUGGAUUACUUUUCAUCAAUUUUCGGUGUUAUACUUAAAAAGGAAAGCAAGAAAGAUGAACGGCAGACGGGCCCUCAAAUGUGGGAUUAUUGCAUUCCCCAUCUUUGCAGGAAGUUCCUACCAUUACCACAAAGGGGUUUGUGGAAUCUUUUUUCCAGAAGGCAGCAGAAUUCCAGGUUUGCCAUCGCCGUUAAUUCUCACCGGUAGAGAAGAACAAGGCGGCUGGAAGCGUACCAUUGCUGGCCGGAGUCUGGCUUAAAAAGAUGCGUUGGACAGCAUUGGACUAGCCAGCUCGGAGAUCGCACACUACCCAGCCAACAUUUUGUUUUUAAAACUCGAACAACCUUCAAGCCAUCUCUUCACAACAUUGUACCCCGAAGAUGGAUUUCGCAUGAUGUGGUUGUCAUCCCAAGGAUUUAAUCAACACCUGAAAAUGGACGAAUUGCUUAACCAGAAGAAGCUUGCGCCAGACAUCGCAAUGUCUUGUAGCAGAAGAGCGUCACAAUGCAUGAGACCGAGCGGCACGGGUGCAGUAGCCAGGGCCGAAGCCCUUCGCCAAGACACGGAAGUGCGGCAACAUGCAGCCUAAAGGACCAAUUAAAAAGAAUGACUUGUCCUGUAGCACCUUGUGGGAGACUAGCGCUUCUCAGUUCCUGGUUAAUGAAAUGCUGAUAAAUUCCCGCAGUGAGGAUUCACCUUUAAGUUACGAUCCGCGAUGGAGCCGAGAACAUAAUUAAUUGAUCAAGUGAUACAGAUAUUUAUAAGUGAUUUUAUAAUUGUGAGUGUUUGAUAUUUUUAAGUGAUUUCUAUGUUAAUAAAUGAUUCACAAUAACUAUGUAUUGCGGCAAUUCAAAAAGUCGUUUUUAUUUCAUGAUCGCAAAACAUUAUUAAUGUAAAUAAAUAACAUUGACUUUCAUCUUCA